rnacentral:rRNA from 1 species
UGGGGAAUAUUGGACAAUGGGCGCAAGCCUGAUCCAGCCAUACCGCGUGGGUGAAGAAGGCCUUCGGGUUGUAAAGCCCUUUUGUUGGGAAAGAAAAGCAUUCGGUUAAUACCCGAUUGUUCUGACGGUACCCAAAGAAUAAGCACCGGCUAACUUCGUGCCAGCAGCCGCGGUAAUACGAAGGGUGCAAGCGUUACUCGGAAUUACUGGGCGUAAAGCGUGCGUAGGUGGUUGUUUAAGUCUGUCGUGAAAGCCCUGGGCUCAACCUGGGAAUUGCGAUGGAAACUGGGCGACUAGAGUGUGGCAGAGGGUAGUGGAAUUCCUGGUGUAGCAGUGAAAUGCGUAGAGAUCAGGAGGAACAUCCGUGGCGAAGGCGACUGCCUGGGCCAACACUGACACUGAGGCACGAAAGCGUGGGGGAGCAAACAGGAUUAGAUACCCUGGUAGUCCACGCCCUAAACGAUGCGAACUGGAUGUUGGGUGCAAUUUGGCACGCAGUAUCGAAGCUAACGCGUUAAGUUCGCCGCCUGGGGAGUACGGUCGCAAGACUGAAACUUAAAUGAAUUGAC